GAUGAAGAACGUAGCGAAAUGCGAUACGUAAUGUGAAUCGCAAAUUCAGUGAAUCAUCGAGUCUUUGAACGCACAUUGCGCCCCCUGGUAUUCCGGGGGGCAUGCCUGUCCGAGCGUCAUUGCUGCCCUCAAGCACGGCUUGUGUGUUGGGCCCCGUCCUCCGAUCCCGGGGGACGGGCCCGAAAGGCAGCGGCGGCACCGCGUCCGGUCCUCGAGCGUAUGGGGCUUUGUCACCCGCUCUGUAGGCCCGGCCGGCGCUUGCCGAUCAACCCAAAUUUUUUAUCCAGGUUGACCUCGGAUCAGGUAGGGAUACCCGCUGAACUUAAGCAUAUCAAUAAGCGGAGGA
rnacentral:misc_RNA from 1 species